rnacentral:rRNA from 1 species
CCUACGGGCGGCAGCAGUGAGGAAUAUUGGUCAAUGGGCGAGAGCCUGAACCAGCCAAGUCGCGUGAGGGAGUACUGCCCUAUGGGUUGUAAACCUCUUUUGUCGGGGAGCAAAAGCCGGACGUGUCCGGCUGUGAGAGUACCCGAAGAAAAAGCAUCGGCUAACUCCGUGCCAGCAGCCGCGGUAAUACGGAGGAUGCGAGCGUUAUCCGGAUUUAUUGGGUUUAAAGGGUGCGCAGGCGGAUUUUUAAGUCAGCGGUAAAAUCGUGGGGCUCAACCCCCUCCAGCCGUUGAAACUGGGGAUCUAGAGUGUGCGAGAGGUAUGCGGAAUGCGUGGUGUAGCGGUGAAAUGCAUAGAUAUCACGCAGAACCCCGAUUGCGAAGGCAGCAUACCGGUGCACAACUGACGCUCAGGCACGAAAGCGUGGGUAUCGAACAGGAUUAGAUACCCUUGUAGUC